UAUGAUUUUUCUUCUAUGUAUCAGACACCCUCACAAACUCCGCAGUUAAGCGUGCUUGGGCGAGAGUAGUACUAGGAUGGGUGACCUCCUAGGAAGUCCUCGUGUUGCAC
rnacentral:rRNA from 1 species